rnacentral:rRNA from 1 species
UUUUAUGGAGAGUUUGAUCCUGGCUCAGGAUGAACGCUGGCGGCGUGCCUAAUACAUGCAAGUCGAGCGAACGGAYGAGAAGCUUGCUUCUCUGAUGUUAGCGGCGGACGGGUGAGUAACACGUGGAUAACCUACCUAUAAGACUGGGAUAACUUCGGGAAACCGGAGCUAAUACCGGAUAAUAUUUUGAACCGCAUGGUUCAAAAGURAAAGACGGUCUUGCUGUCACUUAUAGAUGGAUCCGCGCUGCAUUAGCUAGUUGGUAAGGUAACGGCUUACCAAGGCAACGAUGCAUAGCCGACCUGAGAGGGUGAUCGGCCACACUGGRACUGAGACACGGUCCAGACUCCUACGGGAGGCAGCAGUAGGGAAUCUUCCGCAAUGGGCG